AUAUACAGGACACGACAAGACGAGGACAAAAGACGUCUGAACUGCUAUGCCACCUUGGGACAGGAUCAAUGGAGACCACACCUGGAUGCUGCUCUCAAACUCUCCCGACUAAACCUGCUGUCUCUCAUGGAUCCCUCCAACUCUCAAACUCACUUGACUCAACAUGCUGGCUCUCAGGGUCCCUCCAAAUGCCUUCUACAAGAAGAUGGAGGGGAUCUUUGCGGAUCAUGGUUACCAUGAGAAGAACUGAGAAGUUCAGACGUAAAUUGGGAAACAUGCUAAGGACUUACAAACAGGCCAAAGAACGUUGCCGGGAGACAGGCCAAGGGAGAACCACUUGGCUGUGUUUUGAGGUUAAUGUCUCUCUGGUGCAUAGGGUUAUGAUUAACACAAUAUGAUCUUCAGGAUUUCUUAUUCCCCUCAGGUAAUGAAUGACAUACAGUUUAUAAAUCAUUCACUAUUUAUUCUAACAAAAGUUGAAACAAAAAAAAACAUGUUUUGGUGUUCACACAUGUAUUUGUUUGAUUUACAAAGUCUGAACAGGACCAAGAAAAACAUCUACCGGUAUACUGAAAUUGAGAUGGUUGGCUCUAUUCUUAUGCAUUUCACUGUUCCUGUGCAUGUGACAAUAACACUUGAACUCAGAGGAGAAGGUGGUUCGAGACCUCAAUGCUGGAGGGAGUGGCUGCCAUGCAGCACAUUCUUCAGCAGAUGCUUAUAAGUCAGAAAGAAAGGGUUACACUGUUGAAAAAGGAAAAUAAAUGAUGCUUGACAUUC